rnacentral:rRNA from 1 species
GACGAACGCUGGCGGCGUACUUAACACAUGCAAGUCGAACGGAAAGGCCCUGCUUUUGUGGGGUGCUCGAGUGGCGAACGGGUGAGUAACACGUGAGUAACCUGCCCUUGACUUUGGGAUAACUUCAGGAAACUGGGGCUAAUACCGGAUAGGAGCUCCUGCUGCAUGGUGGGGGUUGGAAAGUUUCGGCGGUUGGGGAUGGACUCGCGGCUUAUCAGCUUGUUGGUGGGGUAGUGGCUUACCAAGGCUUUGACGGGUAGCCGGCCUGAGAGGGUGACCGGCCACAUUGGGCCUGAGAUACGGCCCAGACUCCUACGGGAGGCAGCAGUGGGGAAUAUUGCACAAUGGGCGGAAGCCUGAUGCAGCAACGCCGCGUGCGGGAUGACGGCCUUCGGGUUGUAAACCGCUUUCGCCUGUGACGAAGCGUGAGUGACGGUAAUGGGUAAAGAAGCACCGGCUAACUACGUG